ensembl:lncRNA
UUUCUGUCUCAGUGCAAAGGAGUCAGCAAGUUGUUUCAGUGCAAAGUUGACAAAUAGAACAUCUUUUGAAGAUUUUCUUUUACAAACUGGACAGUUUUUGUUUUUAGGUUGUUCUCAGGAUUUGCUUUUAUUUAAAUAAAGUAUAAAAAUGACAGAAAGAUGGAGAAAUCUGAGUUGUUGUAGUCUGCUGAGGAGGAUUUCAACUGACAGAUACUAAACCAGUUUUACAACAUUUUUGUUUUUCAGCAACUGCCACAGGAAACACUUUCCCAGCAUGACUUUAACAACAACAUCAGCAUGCAUAAAGAAUAAAGAAAUCUUUUUACAUUUUUGAUCAAAUCCAAAUCAAGACUGAACCAAAAGAGAAAGUGUAAAAUGCUAAAAAAAAAAAAAAAAAAAAAAAGAGCAGUCAUGUUUUAAUCAAGAUGAUUUAAAAGUCAGAAACAGACAUAUUGUUACAAAAUGCCUAUCCCAGCUGUCAUUUCAAGACAGUCUAGUCUGCCCCAGGGCCAACACAAGGAGACAAAUGACCGUUUUCACCCACAUUCACACCGACGGGCAAUUUGAAAAUCAUCAGUUAACUGUGGGAGUAGUUGGUGGAAACCCAGGCAAACAUAAAGUCAGUUUGUGGAUUCAAACUCAGGAGUUUCUUGCUUCUUGCCACCACACUACCAUAUUCAGACACAGUACAAGGUUUAAAUGAAUUUAUCUGUAAUAUUUUCAGAAACUAUAGUCUUGAUUUUUUUGUUUUACUUGUGAACUAAGGUUACUGAAGCAAAUCAUAUUACAUAUGAAAAGGUGUCACAGACUGAAAAUAAAUUGUGUUAUAAUACUGUUUGUCAAGUUCCUGGGUACCACCAUCUCCCAGGAGGUGAAGUGGGAGACCAAGAUUUUAAAAAGACCCAGCAAAGGAUGUACUUCCUGAGACAAGUGGGGAAGUACAGUCUUCUACAUGAGCUGCUGAUCCAGUUCUACACUGCAGUCACUGAGUCUGUCCUGUGCUCCUCCAUCACAGUCUGGUAUGGUGCAGCCACUAAACAGGACAGGUGCAGACUGCAGCGGACUGUACGGGCAGCUGAAAAGAUCAUUGGCGCCCCCUGCCCUCCACCCAGGACCUGCACCUCUGAAGAACCAGGAAACACGCAGGGAAAAUCAUCACAGACCUCUCACACCCUGGACACAGACUUUUUGACCUGCUGCCCUCUGGUAGACGGUAUAGAAGCCUGCAGACCAGGACCACCCGACACAGUAACAUGUUCUUUCCCCUCACCAUCUCCCUCCUAAGUCUCACACUGCUUCACACUGCUAGACUGCAAUAGAUGUGUGUGUGUGUAUUGAGUCAUUUACAUAUUCUUGCGAUCCGGUAGAGACACCAUCUACCGGAAACAAAUUCCUUGUAUGUGUUUGAGCAUAUACUUGUUCAAUAAACGCAAUUCUGAUUCUGAUUCUGUUGAGAAAAUAUCAACUUUGUCUCCAUCUUGUGGUUUUUGCAGGAACAAAACUGUUCACAGUUUCGUCCACAUGAUCAGGUUUUAUUGCAGUACAUCAGGAGUCAGUCUUUGGUGAAAUUAUAAGUAGUGUGCAUGAAGGUUGUGCUGUCCAUUGGCAGGAUGAGAUAAUUAUUAAGCAACAACAUUUUUUUUCUGAACAUUAAAGAGAAAUCUCAGUUUCAGAUUUUUAUUUUUUAAUUUAUUUUUUUAAUUUUUGGAAUUUUGGAAUCACCUCACAACAUGCUGGGAAAGGCCUAGCAGGGUAGACAAUGUUAUUAAAGGAAAACAGAAAAUCACCACUUCAGAUCCAUUGUCCACAGCAUAAAUCAAGUCAUGCUCCCUCCCAGUGUUUCAUAGUGCCUGGGACGUCAUGGGCCAGAUUGUAGCAAAGCCACUCCAGACAGGAGAAUAACCAAGUAGAUCACACGUGGAUAAAUAGGUGAAAACUACCUGUAGCCAUUUCCUUUGACUGUUCUGGGUUCCUCAUGUAGUUUGAAGUGACCAACAAAAUGUUGGACUUAUUAUUAGUUGUUUUAGAUAUUGUAAUGUUUUAUUGUUUCUGUACUGAUAUUGUUUUACUUAGUGAUUCAUAGUUUUAUUCUCUGAAAUGUUUUGAUUCUAUUGGCAUGCUGGGAAUUCACUCACUUUGUCUGGUGAUAGAAUUUGUUUACAUGUUUGUUUAGUGGGGUUGGUUGGCUUCCUGCAGUUGUCAGAUAUGUCUUCUCAUGUUUUUCCCAUUUUUCAUACAGUUUUAGUAAUGUUUUUAAUAAAUAGCCAGUUACGGCACUUAAUCUGCACUUACUGUUUUGGCUUCUUAUUGAAGCCUCUGUGUCAUUUACCCUGGUCUUACUGUUUUUAUUUAUUUAUCCUAUUUUUCUAUUCCUUUUAAAUGUGUCUGCUAGUGGAUCUCUGUGACACCGGAUGAGACAAACAGAAACCUCUAAGUUGGUCUAAUAAGUUUUCUUUGUCAUGUACUGUGUGCAGUAGGCAGGAAUGGUGGAAUAAAAGGUGAACUUCUCCUGUCAAAUACUAAAGUUGUUCCAUAAACUACUUGUGUUUUAUGCUUGUUUCUGUGCAGUGUGGACCACAACAACACAAAAUCACCUAAAUUGAUUUUUGUUUCACGUUACAGAGGCAACAUGCUG